rnacentral:piRNA from 1 species
UGAGACACAUUUCCCAAUGUCCCUUGUGUG